CUGGAAUAUUUUUGGCCACGUACGUUAUUCAACUAGGUAACUCCGCUGCUCUGUUACCACAAGCAACUCCAUGCCUUAGUUAGGUCGGUCCCUAUUUUUUAGGACUAGGUGUGCUACUAUUCCUACUUCCUACUGAUUUGUCCACUUUCUCUCUGUCCUACUACUCUCUUUUCAUUAAUCCCCCGAAUCUCUAAUCUUUGUUUGUGUAGAUUCUCUCUUACCUAUGCCUACAAGGUCGAUGAAAAUCCAAGCAAGUUGCAAGGAAGAUUCAUCUAUGUAAUAAUGUAAUAUCCAAGCUCUGUUGUCUCUGCUUAAUAACUUCUUUUUCUGAAAUUUAGUUGCAUUGAAUGAUUAAUUCCUCUCAUGCCAAUGUGGCAAUAUCUCUUGUUUGAAUUCUCAAUUGUCUUUGCCAGUUACAUAGUGGCUUACAUGCCACCUGGAUACUGGAGUAGCAUAGUAUAUGGGAAUAUGAUUUCAUUUUUAAGCAUUUCUAUGCCACAACUAGUAUCGUUGGUCCUUUCUAAAGGCCAAUAUGAAAGGGCAACAUAUAUAUGUCAGAUCGCAUGGGUAUUUUAGUUGGUACUUUCAGGUUUUGAUAUUACUAUAUCACUAGAAUUUCCUUUCGAAAAUUGCAAUUAGAUUUUAUCAUAGCAUGGUAAGUAUUGAGAAAUUUGUUCAUCAUACCUCCCAGGUAAACUGGAAGUAUUGUAGUAGUAGUCAAGCAGGAACCAAUUCCAAUUGUAUCCUGGGGAUUUUCUUCCUUGUUUUAGAUCUAGUGAAUAAUGUUUGCUGUGGCAGAUAAAGAAUAAUGUUUGCAUUUACCUCACCCUGUCCUAAAUUGGUUUGUUUACUAAUGUUGCACAUGUCUUAUGUUUCCAUUGUUAAUUUAUUAUUGGAAAUUGGUGAUGAUCAGGUAAAGAAAGAAAUCUUCAAGUCUCAGGUUUUUCUAUAACCAUUCCCACAUGGUGGUAAGCUCUCCCAGCAAAUCAUGAUGUGACUCGGAUCAGGUGUGCAUUUUUUCCUUUUUCUACUAUAAAAAAACUUUCCAAUGAGCACACUAAAGUGUAGCAUUCAAUAAGCAGACUUCAUGAUAUUCUAUUGAAAUAAAGUAAUCUAUGAUGUUCUUGAAGUUUUGUCAUGAGUGCCUUAUAUAUGUGCACCAUGGCCAUAAGUACGAGCAGCAUGCAUAUGUGCAUUGAGUCAUCCAACAUGAGGAAUAAGAGAGAUAAAAGCGGGUCCACAGCAAAAAGCGGUGCGGCAAGGCUUGCGUCUACUUCUAGUGGUUACCUAUACUCGAAUGGAGUGCCUUCUUGAGUAGGUGUUUUGGUACUAGCUUGCCUUGUGAAGUAAUAAAUGUUGUCAAUGCUAUGCUUUAUCCAAGUUUUUAUGGUACAUUGUAUUUAUGAAUGUAAGAAUGUAAUGGCAACUUCUUUACAUUUCGCAGGAAAGACAUGCAAGCGGAGGUGGAACCAUGAAGCCGGCGGUUCAGGAAAUUUUGUGUAGUGGUGAUUGAAUCAUUGGUGCUGAAUUUUAUCUAUCAUUUUGUAAACCCACAUUGUGUUUGAGACAAUGAACCAUAGUUAAUUAGCUAUAUUAGCUUAUGGGAAAUUUGGAAAGUCAGUAUGUUGAUAACGGAUGAACUAUUUACAUGUGAAAUUAAUUAAUAUGUGUUUCUAUUGUCUGGUUAUGGUUUAUUAUUGCUGGAGGACAUGCAUGUUGUUGUUAUGAAAUGUCUUG
rnacentral:lncRNA from 1 species